UACGUAGGGGGCUAGCGUUGUCCGGAAUUACUGGGCGUAAAGCGUGCGCAGGCGGUCUUUUAAGUCAGAUGUGAAAUCCCCGGGCUUAACCUGGGAACUGCGUUUGAAACUGGAAGGCUAGAGUGUGGCAGAGGGGGGUGGAAUUCCACGUGUAGCAGUGAAAUGCGUAGAGAUGUGGAGGAACACCGAUGGCGAAGGCAGCCCCCUGGGCUAACACUGACGCUCAUGCACGAAAGCGUGGGGAGCAAACAGG
rnacentral:rRNA from 1 species